AUUGAACGCUGGCGGCAGGCUUAACACAUGCAAGUCGAGCGGUAACAGAGAGAAGCUUGCUUCUCUGCUGACGAGCGGCGGACGGGUGAGUAAUGCCUAGGAAUCUGCCUAGUAGUGGGGGAUAACUUGCCGAAAGGUAAGCUAAUACCGCAUACGUCCUACGGGAGAAAGUAGGGGACCUUCGGGCCUUUCGCUAUUAGAUGAGCCUAGGUCGGAUUAGUUAGUUGGUGAGGUAAUGGCUCACCAAGACCGCGAUCCGUAACUGGUCUGAGACGAUGAUCAGUCACACUGGAACUGAGACACGGUCCAGACUCCUACGGGAGGCAGCAGUGGGGAAUAUUGGACAAUGGGGGGAACCCUGAUCCAGCCAUGCCGCGUGUGUGAAGAAGGUCUUAGGAUUGUAAAGAACUUUAAGUUGGGAGGAAGAGCAGUUAACUAAUAUUUGACUGUUUUGACGUUACCGACAGAAUAAGCACCGACUAACUUCGUGCCAGCCGCCGCGGUAA
rnacentral:rRNA from 1 species